rnacentral:rRNA from 1 species
CAGUGGGGAAUAUUGGACAAUGGGCGAAAGCCUGAUCCAGCCAUGCCGCGUGAGUGAUGAAGGCCUUAGGGUUGUAAAGCUCUUUUGUCCGGGAAGAUAAUGACUGUACCGGAAGAAUAAGCCCCGGCUAACUUCGUGCCAGCAGCCGCGGUAAUACGAAGGGGGCUAGCGUUGCUCGGAAUCACUGGGCGUAAAGGGCGCGUAGGCGGACUUUUAAGUCGGAGGUGAAAGCCCAGGGCUCAACCCUGGAAUUGCCUUCGAUACUGGGAGUCUUGAGUUCGGAAGAGGUUGGUGGAACUGCGAGUGUAGAGGUGAAAUUCGUAGAUAUUCGCAAGAACACCGGUGGCGAAGGCGGCCAACUGGUCCGAAACUGACGCUGAGGCGCGAAAGCGUGGGGAGCAAACAGGAUUAGA